rnacentral:rRNA from 1 species
CUUGGUCAUUUAGAGGAAGUAAAAGUCGUAACAAGGUCUCCGUAGGUGAACCUGCGGAGGGAUCAAUAUCGAACCUGGCCCCCUGGCCACGUCUACCUUGCAAACCCGUGGAAGCGAACCGUGCUUCGGCGCCUCGGCGUCGAGUUUAUGCUGCAGUUGGUAGUUUGCGUCUGAAUCAAACCGAAGAACAUAAAACUUUCAACAACGGAUCUCUUGGUUCUGGCAUCGAUGAAGAACGCAGCAAAAUGCGAUAAGUAAUGUGAAUUGCAGAAUUCAGUGAAUCAUCGAAUUUUUGAACGCACAUUGCGCCCUUUGGUAUUCCGAAGGGCAUGCCUGUUCGAGCGUCAUUUCACCCAUCAAGCUACGCUUGGUGUUGGGCGUUUGUUCCGCCAUUGCGCGUGGACUCGCCUCAAAGUAAUCGGCGGUCCGUAUUUGGCGUGUAGCACAGCAGACUGGUUGCUGCAACGCCCAAGAACGUACCUGCCGCAAGGCAUCAUUUUGUUUUCGACCUCGGAUCAGGUAGGGAUACCCGCUGAACUUAAGCAUAUCAAUAAGCGGAGGA